rnacentral:rRNA from 1 species
CCUGUUUAUCAAAAACAUCUCUUUUAGUUAGUAUUAAAAGUCUCCCCUGCUCACUGUGUUUAAAGAGCUGCAGUACCCCAACUGUACUAAGGUAGCAUAGUAAUUUGUCCUUUAAUUGGGGACUUGAAUGAAUGGGCCGACGCAAAACUCUCUUUUCCUUGGGCUUUAAAAAUUUAGAUUUAGGUUAAAAUUCCUAGAUAUACUUAAUAGACGAUAAGACCCUAUAAAAUUUUACCUCAUUACACCCAAUUAGUUAUUAAACUUAGUGGAGGUUUCGCUGGGACGGCUAAAAUAUAGUACCUAUUUUCACUUCAACAGUAAUAUGUGAAUUUUCUGACCCGUUAAAGAUUGAAGAUCUAAUUACUUUAGGGGUAACAGCGUAAUUUUUCUUAGAGCCCUAAUCAAAAGAAGAGUUUACGACCUCGAUGUUGAAUUAGGGAAACUACGUUGGCGCAAAAGCUACUUAAGUAGAUCUGUUCGAUCUUUUAUCCCUUACAUGAUCUGAGUUCAAACCGGAG